rnacentral:sRNA from 1 species
UCUUUCUGUCAGUUUUAUAAAUCAGAGAAUAGGAUGCUGAAAAUCUCCUAGAACAUUUAAAACCUUGGCCCUCAACGAUUUGGCUGCUCAGGUCUAAUAAUCUCCCUGGUAAAAGCCUACCAUCAUGGGAGCUGAGCUAAGAGGGCAGCCUGUUCUUGAUUGAAAGCCCUCACCAGCCUCACCAACUUCAAAUGGUGGUUCUUCUUGAGAAUCUAUGCUCCAGAGCCAUGGAAUAAUCAAGCUGGGAAGGUGGAACCCUCUCCCCCUCAGUUAUGUGACAGAUGCACCCGACGCGACAGUGGCCGACAUGCUACAAGAUGUCUAUCAUGUUGUGACGUUGAAAAUCCAAUUACAAAGUUGUUCGAAGUUGGAAGACUUGCCUGCGGAGCAGUGGAACCAUGCCACAGUCCGCAAUGCCUUAAAGGAACUGCUCAAAGAGAUGAACCAGAGCACAUUAGCCAAAGAAUGCCCUCUCUCCCAGAGUAUGAUUUCAUCCAUUGUAAAUAGCACAUAUUAUGCCAAUGUGUCAGCAACCAAGUGCCAGGAGUUUGGGAGAUGGUAUAAAAAGUACAAGAAGAU